UGGCAAUAAGGAUGAUAUUUUAAAAUGAAUUCUGGUGAUUUAAUUUUAUACGCUAUUCUGACCCACAU